rnacentral:rRNA from 1 species
AUGAUGCCUUGUGAUUUCUUUGCUACUACCUUGCAUUACAUGAUACCAUCACUUAAGAUUGAUUUGAAAACUCAUUUGCUUGGAUAUGAUGAUAUAUACCCUGUUAGUGGCAUUACUCUCAUUUGUGAUGAUCAUAGUUACUUUCCUUGUGCUAGUCCUAUGCUUAAUGAAACAUAUCAUUCCCAUGCUAGUCUUGAGCUUAAUGAUAAAUAUCAUCCUCAUGUUAGUGUUGACCUUGCUGAUUUCUACCAUCCUAAACAUGUGCUUUAUAGCUAUGCUUAUGUAAUUGGAUAUUUGAUUGAUGACUUGGAGGGUAUUAUCCCUACCACUUGCAUUGUCUCUUUGGUUGAGUGCUCUUUCAGGUUGUUGCUUGUGCACGAUCCACUACAUGCUGACCAAGUUCGAGAUGACAUUCCCUGGGACCCUGGUGGACCCAUGGCAUGGGGAUGA